AUUGAACGCUGGCGGCAGGCCUAACACAUGCAAGUCGAGCGGAUGAAGGGAGCUUGCUCCUGGAUUCAGCGGCGGACGGGUGAGUAAUGCCUAGGAAUCUGCCUGGUAGUGGGGGAUAACGUCCGGAAACGGGCGCUAAUACCGCAUACGUCCUGAGGGAGAAAGUGGGGGAUCUUCGGACCUCACGCUAUCAGAUGAGCCUAGGUCGGAUUAGCUAGUCGGUGGGGUAAAGGCCUACCAAGGCGACGAUCCGUAACUGGUCUGAGAGGAUGAUCAGUCACACUGGAACUGAGACACGGUCCAGACUCCUACGGGAGGCAGCAGUGGGGAAUAUUGGACAAUGGGCGAAAGCCUGAUCCAGCCAUGCCGCGUGUGUGAAGAAGGUCUUCGGAUUGUAAGGCACUUUAAGUUGGGAGGAAGGGCAGUAAGUUAAUACCUUGCUGUUUUGACGUUACCAACAGAAUAAGCACCGGCUAACUUCGUG
rnacentral:rRNA from 1 species